CCUAAUUGGCUUUUCCAUGGCGGCGGCUCGUGAACGUAAUGACAAUUCAUAUGAAGACGGAGGGGGUUUCGGCAAGUUUCGAAAGCGGCCGUUUCGAAGGGUCCAGGCUACGCCGUACGAUCGGCCGCCGACCGCAAUUCGAAACCCCACCCCCGCUAGUAACACCAACAACAAUAAUGGUUGGUUAUCAAAGUUGGUGGAUCCAGCACAGAGGCUCAUUACUUACAGCGCUCACAAGCUUUUUGCUUCCGUUUUACGAAAACGGCUACCUCCACCUCCUCCGCCCCAGCCGCCGGAGACAGAGGCAAAUGGGGGAGCGCCUGAUAAGCAGCGGGAAACCGUUCCUAAAGAUCCACCCGG
rnacentral:misc_RNA from 1 species